CCAAAGAGUCAUGGCUACGAAGAACAUUCACGCUCCUGUUGCACUGAGCAUGAUCUACAUGGAUGUCAUAAGAGGCUGACAGUAUCCAGUUUGAAUGCCAGUGUUGGAUCUGAGCCUCCAGCGUAGUACCUCAGGGUCUGUGUGCCCAACUUUGCAGCUGCAGUGUUCAUGUGGCAUGAGAGUUAGGGGUACUGUCUAACUACUUCAUCAUGCCUUAUAAUAUUGCCCUGAUAAAGCGCUUGUACUUU